rnacentral:rRNA from 1 species
GAUGAACGCUGGCGGCAUGCUUAACACAUGCCAGUCGGACGGGAAGUGGUGUUUCCAGUGUCGGACGGGUGAGUAACGCGUAAGAACCUGCCCUUGGGAGGGGAACAACAGCUGGAAACGGCUGCUAAUACCCCGUACGCUGCGGAGCAAAAGGAGGAAUCCGCCCGAGGGGGGGCUGGCGUCUGAUUAGCUAGUUGGUGAGGCAAUAGCUUACCAAGGCGAUGAUCAGUAGCUGGUCCGAGAGGAUGAUCCGCCACACUGGGACGGAGACACGGACUAGAGACCUAUGGGAGGCAGCAGUGGGGAAGUUUCAGCAAUGCGGGAUGGGCUGACGGGGUAAUGCGGCGGGGAGGUAGAAGGCCUAGGGGUGGUGAACUUCUUUUCCCGGAGAAGAAGCAAUGACGGUAUCUGGAGAAUAAGCAUCGGCUAACUCUGUG